AUGCGGGGCAGCGCCCUCCGGCGCAGCGCCGGUGAUGCUCCUCGGCCCUCCAACGCGAGGCUGGUGGCGCUCCUUCCAUGUAAGCGAAGACGGUGUCCUCGGCAAGAUCUCGGCGGUUGCCAGCGUGGCUCUCAGCCCCGGCGGACAGGGGUGGCCAACAACUGGCGAGCCGCAAAGUCUUCCGGUGUGGCAGCACCAAAGACGACGGCUCUCGGCCGUUCAUCAGCGGCGACGCUCUCCAGCGCGCGUGGGGCGCGCUUCUCUCCGCCCGACCUUCGCGUGGUGGCAGCCGUCGGAGACGGCAAGCAGAGCCCGCAGCCACGGUCCUAA
rnacentral:rRNA from 1 species